GUCUCCAUUGCCCGCGGCAGAGGACACAAUGACUCGACCUCACGGUUCUACCAAUUCUGCCUGAACGAGGGGAUCCAGUCUGCCAUAGAGAUCCAAUCGCGAUGUGACCUAUCCCCGCCUCGGAGAUGCGUGUGGAAGAUCAGAUCUCGCUGCGACCUAUAUCAGGACAAAGGACAGGGUAAAGAAGCGUGGGUGGCGGCUCCAUGGAAAGGGAACAAGGGGAGGGGACUGAGGUACUGUCGUAGUGGCUUUAGUCGGAGCACGCCGUAUUCACCGACCUGAAGAAGGCAUUCAACGCUUGGUUUUAUAGGUCGAAGGUUGCAGCAAGGAGACUAUCUUUCUUGAAUAGCAUGAACCCAACAUCCUUAUUUCCCUGCGUGCAAGAAUGAUCUAGUACUAUUUGAAAAAUACAGACACUAUGUUCAUCCGCAUGGUCUGAUCUGCAGUUGACCUCUUAUGAUCAACAUAUUCCAAAAUGAGCAACAAUGAGCUCAUUGUCGAUAUUCCCCAACUCCUCCACACAGAUCACCUACCCUGCUUCCUCCUUCCAACUUCCAAUGUAUUUAUUGAUUGAGAUUGUGCACAUGAGCUAUUUGUGAGAAUGUCAGCAAACAAUGAAAUUAGAUUAUGCAUAGCUUUCCGGUGGCUGAAUGGCUCUCACAUGUUCUACUGCUGCAAAUUUGUGUCAUCAAGGGUACCUCCUUCAAACGUUUUAAAUGUACUUUUGAUAUUGCAUAUUGUGAUGAUUUUAUAACAGUGUGCCUGCAAUUAGUUUGUAAUCAUUAUUUUCUGUUGCCGAGGGGUGUUCUCCAUUGGUGAUGAUCCAACAACUGAUGCUUCAUUUUUUCUGGAUUAACAGGAAAAUGUCAAAGUGACUAAAAAAUUCCUGAAGGUAGAGGAUACACUAUCUUUACUACAUUUUUAUGGGUGUCUCCAUUUCCGUACACACUUUGAUACCUCCCAAUAAUGUCCAUAAACUGCAUUUCUAGCGGGAGAGGGAGGUAUAAGUGUGAGACGUACCCGUCCAUCCAACGACCUUUGUGUUGUUUGCUCUGUCUGUGCGCGUGUGCGCAAUUGGUGGCUGUCGAUUCGUUGCCAUUUUCUCUUAUUUUGAUAUAUCAUAAUAUUUAUGUGGAUCGAAAAUAGGAUUUGUAAUCUUCAUCUCAAAUUUCUAAAUUAUUUUAAACUAAUAUCAGUAUGGUGUAUUAUUGAUCGCAGUGCAAUGAAUUUUCUAUUAUAUAUUCGACUUAAGCCUUGA